CGUAUAUUAAAGUUGUUGCAGUUAAAAAGCUCGUAGUUGGAUUUCUGGCGUCGCCGCCCGGUUGGCCUCGAAAGGGGUAUGUACUGGGGCGCGCGUCACCAUCCUCGGGGGAAGGCCGUCUGGCAUUAGGUUGUCGGGCGGUCGACGCUCGUCGUUUACUGUGAACAAAUUAGAGUGUUCAAAGCAGGCUUAGGCCGUUGAAUACAUUAGCAUGGAAUAAUGGAAUAGGACUUUGGUGCUAUUUUGUUGGUUUAUGGUACCGAAGUAAUGAUUAAUAGGGACAGUUGGGGCCGUUUAUAUUUCGUUGUCAGAGGUGAAAUUCUUGGAUUUACGAAAGAUAAACUUCUGCGAAAGCAUUCGGCAAGGAUGUUUUCAUUGAUCAAGAACGAAAGUUAGGGGAUCGAAGACGAUCAGAUACCGUCGUAGUCUUAACCAUAAACUAUGCCGACUAGGGAUCAGCGGAUGUCAAUUUGCGACUCCGUUGGCACCUUGUGAGAAAUCAAAGUUUUUGGGUUCCGGGGGGAGUAUGGUCGCAAGGCUGAAACU
rnacentral:rRNA from 1 species